rnacentral:lncRNA from 1 species
AGCCUUCUCUUUCUCCAGAUUUCUAUAUUUCUGUUUGGGCGUCCAUCCUCUACACUCUCUCACUCUUCAUUUUCUUCGAUUUUUGUUUUGUUAUUUUUUUUCUAAAAUGAAAAAUUGGCAAUUGCUUUUGCAUGAAAUAUGUUUACUGUGUGAAUGGUUUAAGUACGAGGCUUUGCUUUCAGUGAGAGGCGGUUGUUUGAGGGUGGUUGACCCAGUGCUCUCUGAUAGCUAGCGGAGCCGGUGACUACUUUUAUGUUGGCAACAACCCUUAUACCAAUAUAUCUGCUUUCUUUCUUGUGUGUGUGAGUGGCUGUCUGGCGACUGGNN